GGAUUAGAUACCCUGGUAGUCCACGCCGUAAACGAUGAUAACUAGCUGUCCGGGGACUUGGUCUUUGGGUGGCGCAGCUAACGCAUUAAGUUAUCCGCCUGGGGAGUACGGCCGCAAGGUUAAAACUCAAAGGAAUUGACGGGGGCCUGCACAAGCGGUGGAGCAUGUGGUUUAAUUCGAAGCAACGCGCAGAACCUUACCAGCGUUUGACAUGGCAGGACGACUGGCAGAGAUGCCUUUCUUCCCUUCGGGGACCUGCACACAGGUGCUGCAUGGCUGUCGUCAGCUCGUGCCG
rnacentral:rRNA from 1 species